rnacentral:miRNA from 1 species
AGCUAAUGGUGAGAAAAU